UAAGACGAACCGUCCAAACGUUGUUCGGAAUCACUGGGCUUAAAGGGCGCGUAGGCGGGUGAGCAAGUCUGUGGUGAAAUCCUCCGGCUUAACCGGAGAACUGCCGUGGAUACUGCCCAUCUCGAGGAGGAUAGGGGCAUCUGGAACUAGCGGUGGAGCGGUGAAAUGCGUUGAUAUCGCUAGGAACUCCGGUGGCGAAGGCGAGAUGCUGGAUCCUUUCUGACGCUGAGGCGCGAAAGCCAGGGGAGCGAACGGGAUUAGAUACCCCGGUAGUCCUGGCCCUAAACGAUGAGAACUGGAUAGCGGGCUUGACAUAGGCACGCUGUCGGAGCAAAAGUGUUAAGUUCUCCGCCUGGGGAGUAUGGUCGCAAGGCUG
rnacentral:rRNA from 1 species